rnacentral:rRNA from 1 species
AGAGUUUGAUCAUGGCUCAGGACGAACGCUGACGGUGUGCUUUAGGCAUGCAAGUCGAACGAGAAAGCCCUUCGGGGUGAGUAAAGUGGCGAACGGGUGAGUAACACGUGGGCAACCUGCCCCUCGCAGGGGGACAACCGGAGGAAACUCCGGCUAAUACCCCCGUACGCUUGUUGGAUCGCAUGGUCCGGCAAGGAAAGGUAGCUUCGGCCAUCCGGCGAGGGAUGGGCCCNNGUUGCAUUAGCUAGUUGGUGGGGUAACGGCCUACCAAGGCGACGAUGCGUAGCUGGCCUGAGAGGAUGAUCAGCCACACUGGGACUGAGACACGGCCCAGACUCCUACGGGAGGCAGCAGCCAGGAAUCUUGGGCAAUGGGCGAAAGCCUGACCCAGCAACACCGUGUGGGCGAUGAAGGCCUUAGGGUCGUAAAGCCCUGUUGAUAGGGACGAAGGGCGAAGGGUUAAUAGCCCCUAGCUUGACGGUACCUUUUGAGGAAGCCCCGGCUAACUACGUGCCAGCAGCCGCGGUAAUACGUAGGGGGCGAGCGUUGUCCGGAAUUAUUGGGCGUAAAGAGCGUGUAGGCGGUUCGGUAAGUCUGCUGUGAAAUCCUGGGGCUCAACCCUGGGCGUGCAGCGGAUACUGCCGGGCUAGAGGGUGGUAGAGGCGAGUGGAAUUCCGAGUGUAGCGGUGAAAUGCGCAGAUAUUCGGAGGAACACCAGUAGCGAAGGCGGCUCGCUGGGCCACACCUGACGCUGAGACGCGAAAGCGUGGGGAGCGAACAGGAUUAGAUACCCCCGUAGUCC